GAUCAUGGCUCAGGAUGAACGCUAGCUACAGGCUUAACACAUGCAAGUCGAGGGGCAUCGGGAAGAAAGCUUGCUUUCUUUGCUGGCGACCGGCGCACGGGUGAGUAACACGUAUCCAACCUGCCCUUUACUCGGGGAUAGCCUUUCGAAAGAAAGAUUAAUACCCGAUGGGAUAAUUAUUCCGCAUGGUUUGAUUAUUAAAGGAUUCCGGUAAAGGAUGGGGAUACGUUCCUACUUAGGUUUGGUUUGGUGAGGUAACGG
rnacentral:rRNA from 1 species